rnacentral:rRNA from 1 species
GAUGAACGCUGGCGGCGUGCCUAAUACAUGCAAGUCGAGCGAACGGACGAGAAGCUUGCUUUUCUGAUGUUAGCGGCGGACGGGUGAGUAACACGUGGAUAACCUACCUAUAAGACUGGGAUAACUUCGGGAAACCGGAUCUAAUACCGGAUAAUAUUUUGAACUGCAUGGUUCAAAAGUGAAAGACGGUCUUGCUGUCACUUAUAGAUUGAUCCGCGCUGCAUUAGCUAGUUGGUAAGGUAACUGCUUACCAAGGCAACGAUGCAUAGCCGACCUGAAGGGGUGGUCGGCCAGACUGGAACUGAGACAGGGUACAGACUCUUACAGGGAGAAGCAGUAGGGACUCUUCCGCGAUGGGGGAGAGCCGGACGGAGCAACACCGGGUGAGUGCUGAACGUCUUAGGACCGUAAAACUAUGUUAUUAGGGAAGAAGAAAUGUGUAAGUAACUGUGAACAUCUUGACAGUACCUAGUGAGAAAGCCACGGCUAACUACGUG